CAUUUAUAUGCUUUCUUCCAAUAUAUUUUCAACUUGUUACUGAGGUAAAAUUUAAAAGUGUACCGAUAUUAAGUGUACACCUCAGUGGGUUUUUAUAUAUGCCCUUGAAUGCACCACCCAGGUCAAAAUAUAGAAUAUUUCUAGCACUUCAGUAGGUGUCCUUAUGUUCCCCAGGCCCCCACCAACCCCUUUUAUCACCACGGAUUAGUUUUGCCUGUUUUAAAACUUUAUGUAAGUGAAAUAAUUAUAUGCACUCUUCCGUGUCUUGUUCAACAUUGUAUCUGUGAGAGUAAUCCAUGUUAUAUGUAGUAGCAGUUCAUGUUUUACUUCUGUGUAGUAUUCCAUUGUGUGACUACAUCACAACUUACCCAUUCUACCGUUGAUAGAAAUUUAGGUUGUUUCCAGCUUGUGGUCAUUAUGAAUAAAGUUACUAUGAAAAUGA
rnacentral:lncRNA from 10 species